rnacentral:pre_miRNA from 1 species
UACCUAUUCCUCGGUCCAACAAAAAAUGUCUUAAGUUUGUUAAAAUUUGGAUGUAUCUAGAUAUGGUUUAGUAUAUAAAUGCAUUCAAAUUUGGACAAAGUUGAAACAUCCUUUGUUAGACGGAGGGAGUAUUAC